rnacentral:rRNA from 1 species
UACGUAGGGGGCAAGCGUUGUCCGGAUUUAUUGGGCGUAAAGCGCGUGUAGGCGGCUGGGUAGGUCCGCUGUGAAAACUCGAGGCUCAACCUCGAGACGUCGGCGGAAACCAUCCAGCUAGAGUCCGGAAGAGGAGAGUGGAAUUCCUGGUGUAGCGGUGAAUGCGCAGAUAUCAGGAAGAACACCCGUGGCGAAAGCGGCUCUCUGGGACGGUACUGACGCUGAGACGCGAAAGCGUGGGAGCGAACAGG